rnacentral:rRNA from 1 species
AACGAACGCUGGCGGCAUGCCUAACACAUGCAAGUCGAACGAGACCUUCGGGUCUAGUGGCGCACGGGUUCGUAACGCGUGGGAACCUGCACUUAGGUUCGGAAUAACUCCCCGCAAGGGGUGCUAAUACCGGAUAAUGUCUUCGGACCAACGAUUUUUCGGCUUUGGAUGGGCCCGCGUUGGAUUAGCUAGUUGGUAGGGUAAAGGCCUACCAAGGCGACGUUCCAUAGCUGGUCUGAGAGGAUGAUCAGCCACCCUGGGACUGAGACACGGCCCAGACUCCUACGGGAGGCAGCAGUGGGGAAUAUUGGACAAUGGGCGAGAGCCUGAUCCAGCAAUGCCGCGUGAGUGAUGAAGGACUUAGGGUUGUAAAGCUCUUUUACCCGGGAUGAUAAUGACAGUACCGGGAGAAUAAGCUCCGGCUAACUCCGUG